rnacentral:rRNA from 1 species
UACGUAGGGGCAAGCGUUGUCCGGAAUCAUUGGGCGUAAAGAGCGCGUAGGCGGUCCGGUAAGUCCGCUCUGAAAGUCCGGGGCUCAACCCCGGGAGGCGGGCGGAUACUGUCGGGCUAGAGUCCGGAAGAGGCGAGUGGAAUUCCUGGUGUAGCGGUGAAAUGCGCAGAUAUCAGGAGGAACACCGGUGGCGAAGGCGGGUCUCUGGGCAACAACUGACGCUGAGGAGCGAAAGCGUGGGGAGCGAACAGG